UGGGGAAUAUUGGACAAUGGGCGCAAGCCUGAUCCAGCCAUGCCGCGUGAGUGAUGAAGGCCCUAGGGUUGUAAAGCUCUUUCACCGGUGAAGAUAAUGACGGUAACGGGAGAAGAAGCCCCGGCUAACUUCGUGCCAGCAGCCGCGGUAAUACGAAGGGGGCUAGCGUUGUUCGGCUUUACUGGGCGUAAAGCGCACGUAGGCGGACUUUUAAGUCAGGGGUGAAAUCCCGGGGCUCAACACCGGAACUGCCUUUGAUACUGGAAGUCUUGAGUAUGGUAGAGGUGGGUGGAAUUCCGAGUGUAGAGGUGAAAUUCGUAGAUAUUCGGAGGAACACCAGUGGCGAAGGCGGCUCACUGGACCAUUACUGACGCUGAGGUGCGAAAGCGUGGGGAGCAAACAGG
rnacentral:rRNA from 1 species